rnacentral:rRNA from 1 species
GAUGAACGCUGGCGGCGUGCCUAAUACAUGCAAGUCGAGCGAACAGACGAGGAGCUUGCUCCUCUGACGUUAGCGGCGGACGGGUGAGUAACACGUGGAUAACCUACUUAUAUUACUGGGAUAACUUCGGGAAACCGGAGCUAAUACCGGAUAAUAUAUUGAACCGCAUGGUUCAAUAGUGAAAGACGGUUUUGCUGUCACUUAUAGAUGGUUCCGCGCCGCAUUAGCUAGUUGGUAAGGUAACGGCUUACCAAGGCGACGAUGCGUAGCCGACCUGAGAGGGUGAUCGGCCACACUGGAACUGAGACACGGUCCAGACUCCUACGGGAGGCAGCAGUAGGGAAUCUUCGGCAAUGGGCGAAAGCCUGACGGAGCAACGCCGCGUGAGUGAUGAAGGUCUUCGGAUCGUAAAGCUCUGUUAUUAGGGAAGAACAGAUGUGUAAGUAAAUAUGCACGUCUUGACGGUACCUAAUCAGAAAGCCACGGCUAACUACGUG